AUGAGAUUACCACAGAACUCGGUAUGUGAGGGUGACACAACAGAGCCAUGUUUUUUGGGGGGCACACUGAGCACGGGUCGUUGAGGUUGGCACACAGAGCACGGUCCGUGGGGGGCACACAGAGCACGGGCCGUGGAGGGUGGCACACAGAGCACAGGCCGUGGAGGGUGGCACACAGAGCACGGCCGUGGAGGGUGGCACACAGAGCACGGCCGUGGAGGGUGGCACACAGAGCACGGCCGUGGAGGGCGGCACACAGAGCACGGGCCGUGGGGGGCACACAGAGCACAGGCCGUGGAGGGCGGCACACAGAGCACGGGCCGUGGAGGGCGGCACACAGAGCACGGGCCGUGGAGGGCGGCACACAGAGCACGGGCCGUGGGGGGCACACAGAGCACGGGCCGUGGAGGGCGGCACACAGAGCACGGCCGUGGAGGGCGGCACACAGAGCACGGCCGUGGAGGGCGGCACACAGAGCACGGCCGUGGAGGGCGGCACACAGAGCACGGGCCGGGCCGUGGAGGGCGGCACACAGAGCACGGGCCGUGGAGGGCGGCACAGAGCACGGGCCGUGGAGGGCGGCACACAGAGCACGGCCCCCCAGUACUUUUUAUGAGCACAAUGAAUCUCCAGAAAAGAAAAGCUCUAAACAAAAGCACGAACCCACGGGACUGCGGCUGUGCUCCCCACGUAUCACACACUCUGACGCUUGCUCUGGCUCCCAUCUACCCAAGACAAGGCCCGCAGGGAGCUGGAUCCUCUGCAUGACGUGCCAGUCCCUACGCGAGGACGGGAGAAGCCCAGCCUGCAUCGUAUCUGCCUUCAACACAGUCACCCGCGGUGUUGACGCGGCGGCAGGUACUCUGACGUCUGCUACCGAAACCCUUCAGUAAAGUACUCCAAGGGCCAGCGCUGUGGCACGGGGUGAGCCUCGGCUCGCCAGGCCAGCACCCCGCAUCUGACGGCUGUGGCUUCAGCUCGGCUGCUCCACUUCCCACCCAGCUCCCUGCUAAUGCACCCGCCCCCCACCCACGUGGGAGCCCAGCUGGGCGCUCCUGGCUCCGGCCCGCACAGAGCACUGCGGAGGACACAACUUUCAGAACCUGGAGCAAGUCAGAGUGGGGCAGGGCGCUCCCAGCACAGAAAACACGGGCAGGGCCGACGCGGCGGCAGGCUCAGAGGCCCACGUCGUCCUGGCGGGCGGGCUGGGGGUCCCAUCCCAGAGUCACAGGCAGUCUUGGAAGCCCGCUGAGCCGGAGGCUGGCCAGACCUCACCUGUGUUCAGGAGCCACGACCGGCAGCCAGGAAGGAGCAGGGAGAUGCGCUAGGCCAAGGCGUCCAACCCGGUGUUCCCGGGGUCUGAGCUGGCUGACUUCCCAACCAGCUGAGACGGGUCAUCCCCCACCCCACAGACGCGUGCACCCGCCGCCCCCAGCCACCCCAGGCCAGGCCGAGCAGGCACCACCCCACUGAGCAGCGCGCACGGCGGGCCCUGCUAACUCCAUCUCACUGUCCUGACGCCUGCCAAGAGCCAGCGGUCCCCGCAGCACCUCAGCCGGCUCCGUCAGGGCCACGCUGGGCGCCUCCACUUCCUCUCCAACACAAAGAAACAAAGCCACCUGCACCUGCGAGCCCGCUCCCCGCAAACACCGCUCCCCACACGCCAGCGGCCCAGGGCUCCCCGCAGCGGCCACCCCCUUCUCAAGGACUAAGGGCUCCCUCCUCGGUCCGCGGCGGGGCGCGGCCGCAGCUCCGCGCGCCCCGAUGCCCGCACCUACUGAAGGGCGGUUCCGCCCGGCGGAACCAACGGGCACUGCGUGACCUUCGGGGACAGGACUUUCACCCGACACGGGCCGCGUGUCCUCGCGUGGGUCUCACGGCCCACAGGAGACG
ensembl:lncRNA